rnacentral:rRNA from 1 species
UCGAGAACUAGGUCGUAACCACAUAAAAUCAUAAGAUAUAACAUAAACGUUACACAUAACUACUAACAUGGACUCCCGCUCCUUGAAUAGUUUGAAACAAUGGAUAACAGAAGUAUUUACCCUAAGUCGUAAGUACGGGGAGGAUUUGGUAGAUGGCCUCUACAGUCUCCCAAGCUGUGAAAAUGUUCUAUGAUCUUUUUGUCAUCAAUUCCAGCAAAUAUAUCUCGCUCUACAUAGCAUAUCAUUCAACCAAUCAUCAGAUGUCUUAUUUCUCAAAUCACUCUGAAUGAUAUUCAUGGCUAAGAAAACUCUUUCAACAUAUGUCGUCGCUUGCUGAUUUUGCAAACAACAGCAACACGUUUGCAUGAGCUCGAUCUUGAUCCACUGCCGCCGCUGGCUCCUCCCACACAGGCCACACCCGGCACCGCUGCUUCUUUCCAUUCGCCCAUACGUGGACCGACGAACGGUGGAUCUGGAUCAGGUGACCGCGGCCGGUGGCCAGGCGAGGCAGAGCUCUUCGGUGACGAGCCGGCAGCCGGGCGAGGCGAGGCAGAGCUCUUCGGUGACGAGCCGGCAGCCGGGCGAGGCGAAGCUCUGUGGCGGCGAGCCGGCGGCCGGGCGAGGCGGAGCUCUGUGGCGGCGAGCCAGCGACGGCUAGGUUAUUCUCGCUGCUGCCUGGCUCGAUUGGGGGAUUUUCUGGAAUGCCUGUACGAUGAGGUCGAAGGAUUGGGUGUGGCCGUGCAAACUAGUUUUAGGCCAUGGACUGGAAUUGGGUGCCUCCGGUUUUAGCCCAUGUAUUAAAACAAAUCGUAUUUUUUGUAUACGUAGUUUGGGCUACCCGGGGCGGCCGACCAUCC